rnacentral:rRNA from 1 species
GAUGAACGCUGGCGGCGUGCCUAACACAUGCAAGUCGAGCGAACAGACGAGGAGCUUGCUCCUCUGACGUUAGCGGCGGACGGGUGAGUAACACGUGGAUAACCUACCUAUAAGACUGGGAUAAUUUCGGGAAACCGGAGCUAAUACCGGAUAAUAUAUUGAACCGGAUGGUUCAAUAGUUAAAGUCGGUUUUUCUGACACUUAUAGACGGACACGCGCAGCAUUAGCUAGUUGGUAAGGUCACGGCUUAGCAAGGCUACGACGCGUAGCCGACCCGAGAGGGAGGUCGCACACACUGGAACAGAGACACGGCCCACACUCCUACAGGGGGCAGCGGUAGAGAAUCUUCCGCGAUGGGCGAGAGCGUAACGUAGCACCACGGCGUGAGUGAUGAAGGUGUUCGGCUCGUAGAGCUCUGUUGUUAGGAGAGAACAAAUGUGUAAGUAACUAUGCACGUCUUGACGGUACCUAAUCAGAAAGCCACGGCUAACUACGUG